rnacentral:rRNA from 1 species
UACGUAGGUGGCGAGCGUUUGUCCGGAUUUACUGGGCGUAAAGAGCGCGCAGGCGGUCGUACAAGUCGCGUGUGAAAGCCCCCGGCUCAACUGGGGAGGGUCACGCGAUACUGUUCGACUCGAAGGCAGGAGAGGGUAGUGGAAUUCCCGGUGUAGUGGUGAAAUUCGUAGAUAUCGGGAGGAACACCAGCGGCGAAGGCGGCGUCCUGGACUGGGCCUGACGCUCAGGAGCGAAAGCGUGGGGAGCGAUCCGG